rnacentral:rRNA from 1 species
ACCAUCUCCUUUUGGCCUAGAUGGGCCACUCCUUUUCUGUUCCUAGCGUAAUCGUCAUUCCUGCUGUAGUUUUUAUGACGCUGGGUUAAGACGUUUAGCCUAGGGCAAAUCUUUCCCUAGGGAAUGAGGUCCCAACAAGACCAAGACACUCCGAUCCUUAUAGGUUUCCUGGAGUUCUUUCCUGGACGUUGCGAAUAAAGCUUAUGAGGAAGAUGCCUCUUUAGCUUGACGUUCCUUGUCAUCUGACAAUUAAGCUUUCUAGAAAAUCCUAAGCAACUAGACCAGGUUUUCUGUGAACAGGAAAAACAUUCCUCUUUUGCACCAUGAGUCCUAAUGGAUCUGGAGUGAAGAUGGACUUGUUCUUCUGCACCGGUUCCGUAAGGGAAAAGGUGAACUAGGCGGAGCCAUAGGGCUAACCUGGUGAUAGCAAUAGAUCCUGUCCUGGGCACAAAGACAGCUAAGGCAUCGUCCCAGUCCUGGAUCUUUUUGCCUAAUAAGAGUUCCUUUUUCUUAACAGAACCCUCCAUUUCCUUGGAGAGGAAAAGGUUGGGUGGAGUAACGAUCUUCUUAGGCUCCUUUAGCUUCCUGUUUUGAUCGAUGACAGCUGUAGGUGUCAAUGAAGUCUGCCUGGUACGACGUCCUUUUUAGUGAACUUGGCAACAACUGGCACGCCUGUUUUCUAAAAACAUAGGUGUUAGAAAGGCUUAGUGCCCAGUACUGCCAAAGUCCUCUACUGGCAGCAGUAUCUUGACUGUGCCAAUGUACCUUAGUUUCUUGUUGUUUCAUUGGCAACCAGGGAAGUAUUGACGAUGCCAGUCCUUUACUGAA